rnacentral:sRNA from 1 species
UAUGACGACGACGAAGAAGAAGAGGAAGAAGAAGAGAGAAA